rnacentral:rRNA from 1 species
GGAAAGGCGCGCGAUACAGGGUGACAGCCCCGUACACAAAAAUGCACAUGCUGUGAGCUCGAUGAGUAGGGCGGGACACGUGGUAUCCUGUCUGAAUAUGGGGGGACCAUCCUCCAAGGCUAAAUACUCCUGACUGACCGAUAGUGAACCAGUACCGUGAGGGAAAGGCGAAAAGAACCCCGGCGAGGGGAGUGAAAAAGAACCUGAAACCGUGUACGUACAAGCAGUGGGAGCACGCUUAGGCGUGUGACUGCGUACCUUUUGUAUAAUGGGUCAGCGACUUAUAUUCUGUAGCAAGGUUAACCGAAUAGGGGAGCCGAAGGGAAACCGAGUCUUAACUGGGCGUUAAGUUGCAGGGUAUAGACCCGAAACCCGGUGAUCUAGCCAUGGGCAGGUUGAAGGUUGGGUAACACUAACUGGAGGACCGAACCGACUAAUGUUGAAAAAUUAGCGGAUGACUUGUGGCUGGGGGUGAAAGGCCAAUCAAACCGGGAGAUAGCUGGUUCUCCCCGAAAGCUAUUUAGGUAGCGCCUCGUGAAUUCAUCUCCGGGGGUAGAGCACUGUUUCGGCAAGGGGGUCAUCCCGACUUACCAACCCGAUGCAAACUGCGAAUACCGGAGAAUGUUAUCACGGGAGACACACGGCGGGUGCUAACGUCCGUCGUGAAGAGGGAAACAACCCAGACCGCCAGCUAAGGUCCCAAAGUCAUGGUUAAGUGGGAAACGAUGUGGGAAGGCCCAGACAGCCAGGAUGUUGGCUUAGAAGCAGCCAUCAUUUAAAGAAAGCGUAAUAGCUCACUGGUCGAGUCGGCCUGCGCGGAAGAUGUAACGGGGCUAAACCAUGCACCGAAGCUGCGGCAGCGACGCUGAUGCGUUGUUGGGUAGGGGAGCGUUCUGUAAGCCUGCGAAGGUGUGCUGUGAGGCAUGCUGGAGGUAUCAGAAGUGCGAAUGCUGACAUAAGUAACGAUAAAGCGGGUGAAAAGCCCGCUCGCCGGAAGACCAAGGGUUCCUGUCCAACGUUAAUCGGGGCAGGGUGAGUCGACCCCUAAGGCGAGGCCGAAAGGCGUAGUCGAUGGGAAACAGGUUAAUAUUCCUGUACUUGGUGUUACUGCGAAGGGGGGACGGAGAAGGCUAUGUUGGCCGGGCGACGGUUGUCCCGGUUUAAGCGUGUAGGCUGGUUUUCCAGGCAAAUCCGGAAAAUCAAGGCUGAGGCGUGAUGACGAGGCACUGCGGUGCUGAAGCAACAAAUGCCCUGCUUCCAGGAAAAGCCUCUAAGCAUCAGGUAACAUCAAAUCGUACCCCAAACCGACACAGGUGGUCAGGUAGAGAAUACCAAGGCGCUUGAGAGAACUCGGGUGAAGGAACUAGGCAAAAUGGUGCCGUAACUUCGGGAGAAGGCACGCUGAUAUGUAGGUGAAGUCCCUCGCGGAUGGAGCUGAAAUCAGUCGAAGAUACCAGCUGGCUGCAACUGUUUAUUAAAAACACAGCACUGUGCAAACACGAAAGUGGACGUAUACGGUGUGACGCCUGCCCGGUGCCGGAAGGUUAAUUGAUGGGGUUAGCGCAAGCGAAGCUCUUGAUCGAAGCCCCGGUAAACGGCGGCCGUAACUAUAACGGUCCUAAGGUAGCGAAAUUCCUUGUCGGGUAAGUUCCGACCU